GCCGCUGUGGCUUAGUGGUAUAGCGAUUGAUUCGUAAUCAGUAGGUCGGGGGUUCAAAUCCCUCCAGCGGCU
rnacentral:tRNA from 1 species